rnacentral:rRNA from 1 species
UACGUAGGGGGCAAGCGUUGUCCGGAAUCAUUGGGCGUAAAGCGCGUGUAGGCGGCCCCGGUAAGUCCGCUGUGAAAGUCCAGGGCUCAACCCUGGAAUGCCGGUGGAUACUGUCGGGCUCGAGUCCGGAAGAGGCGAGUGGAAUUCCUGGUGUAGCGGUGAAAUGCGCAGAUAUCGGGAGGAACACCAAUUGCGAAGGCAGCUCGCUGGGACGUUACUGACGCUGAGACGCGAAAGCGUGGGGAGCAAACAGGG